rnacentral:tRNA from 1 species
GCCGGGAUGGCCGAGUGGUUAGGCGGCGGGCUGCAGACCCGCUUUAACGCAGGUUCAAAUCCUGCUCCCGGCUCCA